ACGAGGCACGGCGCACAGCUCAGUAACACGUGGCUAACCUGCCCUUAGGACGAGAAUAACCCCCGGAAACUGGGACUAAUGCUCGAUAGGUGAAGAACUCUGGAAUGAGUCUUCACUUAAAAGAGUCUGCGUUAUGCUCGUAGAUUUCGCUUAAGGAUGGGGCCGCGACCGAUCAGGUUGUUGGUGAGGUAAUGGCUCACCAAGCCUUUUACCGGUGCGGGCCGUGAGAGCGGGAGCCCGGAGAUGGGCACUGAGACAAGGGCCCAGGCCCUACGGGGCGCAGCAGUCGCGAAAACUUUGCAAUACACGAAAGUGUGACAGGGCUAUCCCGAGUGCCAUCCGCUGAGGAAGGCUUUUACCCAGUCUAGAAAGCUGGGGGAAUAAGGAGAGGGCAAGUCUGGUGUCAGCCGCCGCGGUAAUACCAGCUCUCCGAGUGGUGUGGAUGUUUAUUGGGCCUAAAGCAUCCGUAGCUGGCUAAGUUAGUCCCCUGUUAAAUCCAACGAAUUAAUCGUUGGAUCGCGGGGGAUACUGCUUGGCUAGGGGACGAGAGAGGCAGACGGUAUUUCCGGGGUAGGGGUGAAAUCCUAUAAUCCCGGGAAGACCACCAGUGGCGAAGGCUGUCUGCUAGAACGCGCCCGACGGUGAGGGAUGAAAGCUGGGGGAGCGAACCGGAUUAGAUACCCGGGUAGUCCCAGCUGUAAACGAUGCAGGCUAGGUGUUUGGACGGCCACGUGCCGUUCUAGUGCCGCAGGGAAGCUGUUAAGCCUGCCGCCUGGGGAGUACGAUCGCAAGAUUGAAACUUAAAGGAAUUGGCGGGGGAGCACCACAAGGGGUGAAGCUUGCGGUUUAAUUGGAUUCAACGCCGGGAAGGGCG
rnacentral:rRNA from 1 species